GAAGACUUCAUUAGAUAAUCACAGGCUAGUGGGUUGUAGGAAACAUUUUUCAGCCUUUAGUAAAUCAAGAAGGAUGGGACUCCGUUUUCCUCAUGCAUCAGGUGAAGAUGGUGUAACUUUCAAUGGGACUUCGCAAACCAGUAUUAGUACAGACUUGGAUGGCAUAAGGACCAAGCUUAACCAAUCACUGGAGGGUGAAGAUUAUCGUAAUGGACUUGUUUAAUCUUUACAUGAUGCAGCUAGGGUUUUCAAGCUAUCAAUCAAAGAACAAGGCUCAAUAUCAAAAUUGUCUUGGUUUUCAACAGCCUGGAUUGGUGUAGAUAGGAAUGCAUGGGUGAAAACAUUCUCUUAUCAGGCUGCUGUGUAUUCCCUACUCCAAGCUACUAUCGAAAUUGCAUCCCGAGGUGAUAGUAGAGACAGGAAUACAUAUGUAUUUGUCCAAAGAAGAUUAUUUUGCAGUAAACAAAUCUGAAAUCUUUUCCCAACUUGAAUAUGGUCCAUGUUACAAUUGGCUUUACAAGUUAUAAAUAUCAAUGUCACAAUGGGACCUUAAUGAUUUUAGACAUUUAGGUUGCUCUCCUCUGGUUGUUAUAUGGUAACCUGUUAUUUCUGCAGAACAAAAUAGCUAAAGGAAAUCAUUUUGAGCAGUGAAAUGUGAAGUAUAAUGCUUGGUAGUUAAGGGGUAUUUUAUUUUGCUUCGGUGAUGGAGGCAGAUUAUGUUAUAGUUGUAAUUUUGAAAUUCCGUUCUAUCAAGUUUGCCGAAGGAGGCUUACACUUUCUCUGCCAUUCUCUAUUUUCAUAAGAAAACUCUGUUUUCAAGAUGCUUAUUUAUGAGUUUCUAAUAAAC